GGAAACGUGUAUCCAAAACUGUAUGAGGCUGCAUGGAAGGAUCCUCUCAACAAAUCAGACAUAGCAGAUGGCUUCCACGAAUAUAUUAGGCCACUACUCAAGCAGCAACUACGAACUGCUAAGCUGUGAAGCGCGAGAGCUGCAGCAAACUGUUGUUCCGUGCUGUGCCAAUAAAUUAGAUUUUGAAAUAGCAACAUCCUUUAUGACUAUUAAGUUGUGACUGAUAGUAUUUUGUUCUGAAUAAUAUUAUUGAACUUUUGUAAGGAAAACUGUUAUGUAUGCUUUGGCUUCUUUUCCUCCCAGAAUUAUGAACAAGAAUAGAUUGAUUUUUUGCCUCA
rnacentral:misc_RNA from 1 species